AGUGGAGUUGCUGGGUCAUAUGGUAACUCUAUGUUUAACAUUUUAAGGAACUGCCAGACUGUUUUUCAAAGUGGCUGCAUCAUUUUACAUUCCCACCAGCAGU
rnacentral:pre_miRNA from 1 species